rnacentral:rRNA from 1 species
AAUCCAUAGGUUAAUGAGGCGAACCGGGGGAACUGAAACAUCUAAGUACCCCGAGGAAAAGAAAUCAACCGAGAUUCCCCCAGUAGCGGCGAGCGAACGGGGAGGAGCCCAGAGCCUGAAUCAGCAUGUGUGUUAGUGGAAGCGUCUGGAAAGGCGCGCGAUACAGGGUGACAGCCCCGUACACAAAAGCGCAUGUGCUGUGAGCUCGAUGAGUAGGGCGGGACACGUGGUAUCCUGUCUGAAUAUGGGGGGACCAUCCUCCAAGGCUAAAUACUCCUGACUGACCGAUAGUGAACCAGUACCGUGAGGGAAAGGCGAAAAGAACCCCGGCGAGGGGAGUGAAAAAGAACCUGAAACCGUGUACGUACAAGCAGUGGGAGCACAGGUUUACCUGUGUGACUGCGUACCUUUUGUAUAAUGGGUCAGCGACUUAUAUUCUGUAGCAAGGUUAACCGAAUAGGGGAGCCGCAGGGAAACCGAGUCUUAAUUGGGCGUUAAGUUGCAGGGUAUAGACCCGAAACCCGGUGAUCUAGCCAUGGGCAGGUUGAAGGUUGGGUAACACUAACUGGAGGACCGAACCGACUAAUGUUGAAAAAUUAGCGGAUGACCUGUGGCUGGGGGUGAAAGGCCAAUCAAACCGGGAGAUAGCUGGUUCUCCCCGAAAGCUAUUUAGGUAGCGCCUCGUGAAUUCAUCUCCGGGGGUAGAGCACUGUUUCGGCUAGGGGGCCAUCCCGGCUUACCAACCCGAUGCAAACUGCGAAUACCGGAGAAUGUUAUCACGGGAGACACACGGCGGGUGCUAACGUCCGUCGUGAAGAGGGAAACAACCCAGACCGCCAGCUAAGGUCCCAAAGUCAUGGUUAAGUGGGAAACGAUGUGGGAAGGCCCAGACAGCCAGGAUGUUGGCUUAGAAGCAGCCAUCAUUUAAAGAAAGCGUAAUAGCUCACUGGUCGAGUCGGCCUGCGCGGAAGAUGUAACGGGGCUAAACCAUGCACCGAAGCUGCGGCAGCGAACGUAUCACUUAAAGCGAUUCAGCGGGUUACGAUUGACGGAGCGAAGCGACGUCAAAGCGUAUACAAAGUCGAGUCGGUUUAAGGAUACGUUCGUUGGGUAGGGGAGCGUUCUGUAAGCCUGCGAAGGUGGCCUGUGAGGGUUGCUGGAGGUAUCAGAAGUGCGAAUGCUGACAUAAGUAACGAUAAAGCGGGUGAAAAGCCCGCUCGCCGGAAGACCAAGGGUUCCUGUCCAACGUUAAUCGGGGCAGGGUGAGUCGACCCCUAAGGCGAGGCCGAAAGGCGUAGUCGAUGGGAAACGGGUUAAUAUUCCCGUACUUGGUGUUACUGCGAAGGGGGGACGGAGAAGGCUAUGUUGGCCGGGCGACGGUUGUCCCGGUUUAAGCGUGUAGGUGUGUGUUCCAGGUAAAUCCGGUU